AAAUUUCAUCUUGACAAUUUGCUUCACUCGGAGGACUGGCGAGUCCUUUUCCAAAUUCUUAGUACACUCUUCGAAACCCCUUGAAACCAACCUUGCCCUUGGCUUAACAGAACCAUUGACAUCUUUUAACGUACACACCAUCGUAUGAAGAUGAUUUUGCAUUUGAAGUCUGGAAUUGGAACUUAAGUGUAAACUUUGUUUUCUUUCCAAGAAUUUAGUUCUGCCUUUUUAGCUUAAUCAGAAGAAAAACCAUUGAUUUGAAACACUUCUUCUGUCACUCUGGUUUCGUCAUUCUCUGUAUAGAUAAUAAUCCCACUAUUUACAUUUUCCAUUUUAUUGAAAUCCACCCAAGUCUUGUCCCCUUUUAGUUCAGGGGGGUAUUCAUAAAAAAUAUUAUAACAGGUUUUAUAUUUCCCUGUUGCUUUUCCUGCAUGACCUAAAACAGUUGCAGUGUGUUGAACUCCUCCUUUUUCAAACGAAAGAACUUGUUGUUUGUUCAGUUUUUGCCAUAUUUAGCCUGGGAGGAUUCUUAAAUGGAGCAGGAAUUGAUAUUUCAAUUCUCAGACCAUCAACAGGGGAAUCCCUUACUUCAUGAUGAGGUUCUUCUGAUAAAUUGUCCCUCGAUGGGGAAGAAAUCUCAUAAUCGGACUCUGAACACGAUUCCUCGCGUGUGUCUUGUGUAACCGGCUUGUUUUGAUUCCCCCCAUUCAUAUUUGAGGACCUUUCUUCAUUGGCAAGUUCAAGUCUACACACAUGGACACGGAGGAACUGACCACCGUGCCGCAGAAAAUCAACAGGGGCCAUCUUGCACCAAAACCUUUGCUGGUCCUCUCCAAAUUCUCGACUAAUUUCUUUUGUAGUAGACCAGUUGACCGACUAAAUAAUAUUCUCUGGUCCUCUUCUGGUUUGUUUU